UCAAGACUAAGCCAUGCAUGUCUAAGUAUAAACGCUUCUAUACUGUGAAACUGCGAAUGGCUCAUUAAAUCAGUUAUAGUUUAUUUGAUGGUUCCUACUACAUGGAUAACCGUGGUAAUUCUAGAGCUAAUACAUGCAGAAAGUCCCGACUUCUGGAAGGGAUGUAUUUAUUAGAUCCAAAACCGGCGCGGGUCUUCGGGCCCGGUUGCUUGGUGAUUCAUGAUAACUGCUCGAACCGUAUGGCCUUUGCGCCGACGGUGCUUCAUUCAAAUUUCUGCCCUAUCAACUUUCGAUGGUACGGUAGUGGCCUACCAUGGUUGCAACGGGUGACGGAGAAUUAGGGUUCGAUUCCUGAGAGGGAGCCUGAGARACGGCUACCACAUCCAAGGAAGGCAGCAGGCGCGCAAAUUACCCAAUCCCGACUCGGGGAGGUAGUGACAAUAAAUAACAAUGCCGGGCUUUCUUAGUCUGGCAAUUGGAAUGAGUACAAUCUAAACCCCUUAACGAGGAACAAUUGGAGGGCAAGUCUGGUGCCAGCAGCCGCGGUAAUUCCAGCUCCAAUAGCGUAUAUUAAAGUUGUUGCAGUUAAAAAGCUCGUAGUUGGAUUUCGGGGCRGCCUGGCUGGUCCGCCGCAAGGCGAGUACUGGUCAGCCGCCCUUCCUCUCGAAAGCCCCGACUGCUCUUUAUUGUAGUGGUCGGGUAGUUCGGGACGUUUACUUUGAAAAAAUUAGAGUGUUCAAGGCAGGCCUACGCCUGAAUACAUUAGCAUGGAAUAAUGGAAGAGGACCUCGGUCCUAUUUUGUUGGUUUCCAGGGCCGAANUAAUGAUUAAGAGGGACAGUUGGGGGCAUUC
rnacentral:rRNA from 1 species